ACACACGCACACACACGCACACGCAGGCAGCCCCCAUCCUCUCCCUGUCCCCGGCUCGGAGUUGCUGCUGAAUCGCUCCCUACCCGGCGCCCCUUCCCCCGCCACCGGCCACCUCCUGCCUGAACUUACAUUAUCCUUCCCUCGCCGGUGAGACCCUGGGGUGCGAGCGCGGCCGCCGCCUUGGAAACGGCGAGGGAGCGCGGGUGGUGUGUGCAUGUCUGCGGCUCGGUGGCAGGCAGGGGUGAGCCCAGCCACUCACCUUCCAGGAAGCGCGGAUUCCUGGAAGUGAGGGGAACCGCCGUCAUUUCGCAGGCAGCGGCACGACCCCAGGAGGAAGAGACCCUCACCUUUAGAGAGAGACAAGGGGGAGAAGAUGGAUUUUCUGAAUCGGGUUCCACGAGGUGGGAAAAUCUCUUUGAAGAACAGGAGAACAUACCCCCUUUAUCAGGUGGCCAGGUGAGGGAAGGCCACCUGGUGUGGAGACAGAAGAGCUGUGAUGACCUUGAAGAGCCGCAGUGGGCUCCAGGACGAUGUGCACAACGGCCUUGGCCUUGCCCGCUGCUUGCUUGCUGGCCCAGCAGAGAUGGGUCAGUGACGGGCUCUCAGGCGUACCUCAUGGGGACUGUCUCAAACAUGCCCAGUACUGCAGGGGCUGCUUUUCACAACAGAUGUUAGCCCUCCCUCUUCCCGUUCCCUAAGGUAGUUGCUGGCAGCUAGAAUCCUCAAAACACAGGUGAGGGGGUUCUGGCCUCUACUUUCAUUCAAAAACCAUCCUGUGCAGAGGCUUCUCUUAUCUGGGAAAUGUCAACCUGCUGAAAGCAGGGAAAAUUCGGUUUCAUAGCACCGUGAAGCAAACCCCCUAAGAGGUUCGCCUCUAAUCAACAUUCUCCAGAGACUGAGCUCCAUGGGAUAUCCCCGCCAGCCACUUUUCCAGCUUUUCAUUUACCUGCGUUAGGGCAGGGACUGUUUUUAACUCCUCUAAGUGUUCCCCAGCAAUAAAACAGGGUCUUGAGUGUGGUUGUUGCUCAGCAGUGGUUUUCUGGGUAGGCUUAAACUGAGCAGGAGAUAGAAGGACUGGCUGGUUCCUCAGAAGGGCCAGGACUUUAGUUCCAAUAAAUCUUUUUCAAUUAAAUCA